UGAGGAAUAUUGGGUCAAUGGGAGAGAUCCUGAACCAGCCAAGCCGCGUGAGGGAAGACGGCCCUAUGGGUUGUAAACCUCUUUUGUCGGAGAACAAAACCUGGGACGUGUCCCGGACUGCGUGUAUCCGAAGAAAAAGCAUCGGCUAACUCCGUGCC
rnacentral:rRNA from 1 species